rnacentral:rRNA from 1 species
AGGACGAACGCUGGCGGCGUGCUUAACACAUGCAAGUCGAGCGGAAAGGCCCUUCGGGGUACUCGAGCGGCGAACGGGUGAGUAACACGUGAGCAACCUGCCCUUAGCUUCGGGAUAGCUCCGGGAAACCGGAAUUAAUACCGAAUAUGACUUUGGCUGACAUCAGCAGAAGUGGAAAGUUUUUCGGCUAGGGAUGGACUCGCGGCCUAUCAGCUAGUUGGUGAGGUAACGGCCCACCAAGGCGACGACGGGUAGCCGGCCUGAGAGGGCGACCGGCCACACUGGGACUGAGACACGGCCCAGACUCCUACGGGAGGCAGCAGUGGGGAAUAUUGCGCAAUGGGCGAAAGCCUGACGCAGCGACGCCGCGUGGGGGAUGAAUGCCUUCGGGUUGUAAACCCCUUUCAGCAGGGACGAAGCGAAAGUGACGGUACCUGCAGAAGAAGCGCCGGCUAACGUACGCGCCAGCGAGCCGC